rnacentral:lncRNA from 1 species
AGGGAGUUGACAGACAUAAUCCUUAAGGUAGGAAGGAGGAUUAUGCUGUUUAGUAGACUUUCUAGAGGUGGGAAUAGGAUGGGAAUGAGGUAAUACAGGAGCAGAGAGAUCUGGAUGAAAAGAAGGAAGGGAAGAUGUACCAGCAUCAAGAACAUGAGGUGCAGGAGAAUCAGAAUUAGAAGGAAGGACAGGAGAAUCAGGGGAAGGAAAGAUAGGAAAGUCUGAGACAGUAAAAUCAUCAGCAGGGGGAGCAUAAGGAACAUAAGAAGAAGGAUGAACAGAAGUAGGAUUAUCCUUAAAAGAAAAAUAGGUUUCAUGAAAGACAACAUCCCUUGAAACAAAACACUUCUUGGUAACCAAGUCAUACAGUUUAUAAUCCUUUUUAGCAAAGGGGUAACAGGUUUCAUGAAAGACAACAUCCCUUGAAAAAAAACACUUCUUGGUAACCAUGUCAUACAGUUUAUAACCCUUUUUAGCAAAGGGGUAACCCAGAAACACACAAGAAUGGGCUCUAGGUUUAGGCUUGUCCCUUUGAGGGAUAGGGACAGCAGCAUAAGCAAGGCAUCCAAAUGCUCCCAAAUGAGAAUAGGAUGGGGCUUUGCCAUACAAAAUUUCAUGGGGAGACUUAUGAUGAAGGGUUCUUGUAGGUAUUUUGUUAAGGAGAUAGGUGGCAGUUAAGAGACAAUCCCCCCAAAAAGAGACAGGUAGGCCAGAUUGAAAAAGCAAGGCUCUACAUGUUUCAAGGAGUGUUCUGUGUUUUCUUUCAACAACACCAUUCUGUUGAGGAGAAUGAGGGCAAUAGGAUGGGGCUUUGCCAUACAAAAUUUCAUGGGGAGACUUAUGAUGAAGGGUUCUGGUAGGUAGUUUGUUAAGGAGAUAGGUGGCAGUUAACAGACAAUCCCCCCAGAAAGACACAGGUAAGCCAGACUGGAAAAGCAGGGCUCUACAUGUUUCAAGUAGUGUUCUGUAUUUUAUUUCAACAACACCAUUCUGUUGAGGUGAAUGAGGGCAAGAAGUUUGAUGGAUAAUCCCCUGGCUACUAAAAAAGGAUAUUCCCUCAGUACUGGAUCCUAGUUCUAAGGCAUUGUCACUUCUGACAGUCUGAACCACAGAGUUAAACUGAGUCUUAACAAAGGAAGUGAAUCAGUACUGGAUCCUAGUUCUAAGGCAUUGUCACUUCUGACAGUCUGAACCACAGAGUUAAACUGAGUCUUGACAAAGGAAAUGAAAGACUUAAGCAGUGAAAAUGCAUUGCUUUUGGAUCCCAUUAAGUGUGUCCAGGUUGCCCUAGAAAAGUAAUCAACUAUAGUAAGAAAGUAUUUAUAACCAGAAGAAGUAGAAGUGUGGUAAGGUCCCCAGGUGUCUACAUGUAUUAAUUGAAAUGGUCUUGUUGUACUGAUACUGCUGUCAUGAAAAGGAAGUCUAGUCUGCUUUGCCAUGGGGCAGACAGAACAGGGAAAAGGUUGUUUAGGAGCAAGAGGAAAAGACAAACCAGAAAUAUGUCUCAUAUUUGCAAAAGGAGUAUGUGCCAGUCUUAAAUGCCAAAUGUAAUUCAUAUCAUUAAACAGAACAGGGAAAAUGUUUUUUAGGAGCAAGAGGAAAAGAUAAACCAGAAAUAUAUCUCAUAUUUGCAAAAGGAGUAUGUGCCAAUCUUAAAUGCCAAAUGUAAUUCAUAUCAUUGAUAACAACAUUAUUACAAGUGGAGUUGCUUACAAGUGAAGGUAAGGCAACAUUUUUGCUGUCAGACAAAGUGUCAUCAUUACAAAAAUUAUACAAAGCACACACAGAAGUAAAAGGAGAAACAGAAGAGGGAGAAGGGGAAGGAGGCACCCAAG